rnacentral:rRNA from 1 species
GGCCCAGCCUGCCCAGUGACUUUAUGUUCAACGGCCGCGGUAUUCUGACCGUGCGAAGGUAGCGCAAUAACUUGUCCUUUAAAUGGGGACUAGUAUGAAUGGCAUCACGAGGGCUUAUCUGUCUCCUUUUUUAGGUCAAUGAAAUUGAUCUUCCCGUGCAAAAGCGGGAAUACGCACAUAAGACGAGAAGACCCUGUGGAGCUUUAGACACCAAGACAGAUCACGUUAAGAAUACCUCAAUAAGGGUUUAAACUAAAAGAAGCCUGCUCUGAUGUCUUUGGUUGGGGCGACCGCGGAGUAGAAAAUACCCUCCCCUCCGCGUGGACUGGGAGCACUAAACCUGAAACCUCCUACAACUGAGAGCUACAGCUCAAACCAGCAGAAAUUUCUGGCCAUCAUUGAUCCGGCCCAACGCCGAUCAACGAACCGAGUUACCCCAGGGAUAACAGCGCAAUCCCCUUUUAGAGCCCAUAUCGACAAGGGGGUUUACGACCUCGAUGUUGGAUCAGGACAUCCUAAUGGUGCAACCGCUAUUAAGGGUUCGUUU